GGUGCAGCUGCAGGAGUGGGGCCCAGGACUGGUGAAGCCUUCGGAGACCCUGUCCCUCACAUGCGCUGUCUCUGGUGACUCCAUCAGCAGUGGUAACUGGUGGAGCUGGGUCCGCCAGUCCCCAGGGAAGGGGCUGGAAUGGAUUGGAUACAUCUAUUAUAGUGGGAGGAGCUACUACACCCCGUCCCUCAGGAGUUGAGUCACCAUGUCAAUAGAAACGUCCAAGAACCAGUUUUCCCUGAAGCUGAGCUCUGUG
rnacentral:lncRNA from 1 species